AGAAUACCAGUGCUCAUUAAUAUUCAGCCACCCUUGCAUUUAGAUGUAGCCAAUAUAUUUAUGUUGUAAGUAGAUUCCUUUGGUUACAAUGAAAAUAAAAGACCACAGGAGAAUAAGUGAUAAAUCAACAAGACCAGUUAGGAUGCUAUUGCAGUAUUUUUGGAAAGAAAAACUAGUAAGACUAGAACAGUGAGAUAUGGAAACAGAACUACUUUUUCUGCAACAGGUUGCUGGCAGAACACAGGUGUCUUGAAAACUAUCUCUAAAGAUGCUGUGUCGCGCCACUGUAGUGGCUUCUUCCUCUGCCUUUCUCUUCCUCCGCUGUCGCCUCCCAACUCUAGUCAGCCUCCGGCCGGCCGUCUCCUUAACACAGAACACCAUGCCUUCAAUUAAGUUGCAGAGUUCUGGUGGAGAGAUAUUUGAAGUUGAUGUGGAAAUUGUCAAACAAUCUGUGACUAUCAAGACCAUGUUGGAAGAUUUGGGAAUGAAUGAUGAAGGAGAUCAUGACCCAGUUCCUCUACCAAAUGUUAAUGCAGCAAUAUUAAAAAAGGUCAUUCAGUGGUGCACCCACCAUGAGGAUGACUCACCUCCUCCCAAAGUUUAUGAAAACAAAGAAAAGCGAACAGACGAUAUCCCUGUUUGGGACCAAGAAUUUCUGAAAGUUGACCAAGGAACACUUUUUGAACUCAUUCUGGCUGCAAACUACUUAGACAUCAAAGGUUUGCUUGAUGUUACAUGCAAGACUGUUGCCAAUAUGGUCAACAGGAAAACUCCUGAGGAGAUUCACAAGACCUUCAAUUUAAAAAAUGACUUUACUGGGCCAGGAGCUGUGGCUCACGCCUGUAAUCCCAGCACUUUGGGAGGCUGAGGCAGGCGGAUCACGAGGUCAGUAGAUUGAGACUAUCCUGGCUAACACGGUGAAACUCCGUCUCUACUAAAUAAAUACAAAAAAUUUAGCCGGGCGUGGUGGCGGGUGCCUGUAGUCCCAGCUACUCGGGAAGCUGAGGCAGGAGAAUGGUGUGAAUCCGGGAGGGGGAGCUUGCAGGGAGCCAAGAUGGCGCCACUGCACUCCGGCCUGGGCCACAGAGUGAGACUCUGUCUAAAAAUAAAAAAAAAAAAAAAAAAUUACUUUACUGAAGAGUGGGAAGCCCAGGUACACCAAGAGAACCAGCAGUGUGAAGAGAAGUGAAAUGUUAUGCCUGACACUGUAACACUGUAAGGAUUGUUCCAAAUACUAGUUGCACUGCUCUAUUUAUAGUUGUUAGUAUUAGACAAACAGUAGACAAAUGCAGCAGCAAGUCAAUGGUAUUAGCGGAAUAUUGUCCUCGUUGCAUGUGUAGUUUGAGUACAGAUUCCAAACCUAUGGCUGAGUUUCUUCCAGUAUGAUCAAAAGUUUCUUUGAAUAAAACUGAACUGUAGGUUCUCUGUAAGUGGAAUUUUGGCCUUUCCCUCUUUUUUGUAAAGCAAUGUCUGCCUAGUUUAUUGUCCAGUUAACUUUAGUGACCUUUUAAAAGUUGGCACUGUAAAUAAACCAGCUUGCAAAAAAAGUUUUCUGGACUAGAAUUAACAAAAUGUUAUUUUUAUUCAUGAGUUGGAAACUGGAAAAAGGCUUCUUGAAGUAAAUGUUCUGAGUGGAGUUACUAGAAUGUCUUCCAACCUCCUGCAGUCAAGGAGAACCACUGUAUUGAUUAACCUGUAUGUAGCAGGGCUCCCUUCAUUGCAUCUGAGGACUUGUUUUCUCUUUCUUUAAUUUUAUUUUUAAUCCUCUUGGCUUUAAAUAUAUUGCCUAGAGACUCAGUUACUACCCAGUUUAUGGUUUUUUUGGGGAAAUGUAACUGGACAGUUUGUUAGCUUUUCAAUUAAAAAGACACUUCACCUAUGG